AUGAGCAUAGCAAAGGGUUGGUUGGGUUGGGUGCAAAGCAGGCUCGUCUGUUGCAGCCAAAACAGUGCGGCAGCAAGUUGGCCAAAUCGAGUAUUAUCAGCUGGUAGUAAGAGUUUAAUUUUUUAUUCUUUCAUUCAUUGGCUAUACAACAACCCUUAUUCAGGAUCUGCGGAGGAGCCGGGAGGGCACCGGGGCGAGAGCUGGGCACCCCCGGAACCCCCCGCACACCUGCCCCGGAACCUGCGAGGAGAGCCCCAGCAUCCCGGCCUGGAGGGGAGCGGCAUCCCGCCGGCAUCACCGCUCCGGGGAGCAUCUCCCGCCGUGCCUGCGGGAGCGCGAGGGGAGUCUCCUCCUUCCCUCCCUGCCUCCCCCUCUGCUCUCUCCUCCCUCCCGCUGCCUGCAGCCGCAGCGCAGGGCAGGAGGGAGCGGCGGCGGCAGGCAGAGCCGCCCGGCCCGGCGGAGGCAGGAGGGCGGGCGGGCGGUGGCUGUUCCCCGGCCCCGCCGCCCCAGCCCCGGCCCGGCCGCGCCGCCGGCAGGCUCCGCCCGGCGCUCCCAUGGCGCGGCGGCUCCGCGCCAGGUGAGGCUGCGCUGCCUGUUGCGCCGAGCCGAGCCGAACCGCGCCGAGCUGAGUCGCGCCGCGAAGUUUUGCGGGAGGCGCCGCCGCUCUGCGAUCGUGAAGAGGGAAAGGCAAGUGGGUGGCAAGAGGUACAGUUGAAGACAUAACAGCAUUGUAGCCCUUCCCACCUGGAAUCCCAUGCUGCUGCCAGCUAUCACCUGCUGGAGAACCAUGCAAAGCCCUCAGAGAUGAGGCACUGAGCCACUCCAUCACUAGUGCCUUCUUUUGACCUGUGAGAGGACUGCUGCUGUUACAUGGGCUUCUCCCAUUUGGGUUUUCCAUCCUUGGUCUGUGCUGGUAGGGAAGGGCUUGGCAGUGCGGAUGUAGAUAUCCAGUACCUGUGCUGAAGUAGUUCUUUCUCAUUUGUGUUGUGGUAGGGCUUCAAGCUUGCUGGAAAAGGGCCGUGUUUGUUUUUAAGACACCCAAUUCCUGAAUUCUUUUUUCUACUCUAAAUAUGUCAAGUUAAGUUUAUCUCAGUGCCAGUACCAACUGUAACUAGAGUUAAAUUUUCCCUAUCAUUGCCUCUGCUUGGUUCUCACUUUUUAAAAAGCCUUAGGAAAAUAAAUCGUGCCCUGCAUGUCUUUAAAUUUCA
rnacentral:lncRNA from 1 species